AGCGAACGCUGGCGGCAGGCCUAACACAUGCAAGUCAAACGAAGCCUUCGGGCUUAGUGGCGGACGGGUGAGUAACACGUGGGAACGUACCUUUUGGUUCGGAAUAACGCAGAGAAAUUUGCGCUAAUACCGAAUGAGCCCUUCGGGGGAAAGAUUUAUCGCCGAAAGAUCGGCCCGCGUUGGAUUAGGUAGUUGGUGUGGUAAAGGCGCACCAAGCCUACGAUCCAUAGCUGGUCUGAGAGGAUGAUCAGCCACACUGGGACUGAGACACGGCCCAGACUCCUACGGGAGGCGGCAGUGGGGAAUCUUGCGCAAUGGGCGAAAGCCUGACGCAGCCAUGCCGCGUGAAUGAUGAAGGUCUUAGGAUUGUAAAAUUCUUUUACCAGGGACGAUAAUGACGGUACCUGGAGAAAAAGCCCCGGCUAACUUCGUGCCAGCCGCCGCUGUAAUAC
rnacentral:rRNA from 1 species